rnacentral:rRNA from 1 species
AACGAACCUGGCGGCAGGCCUAACACAUGCAAGUCGAGCGGCCGUAGCAAUACGGCAGCGGCAGACGGGAGAGUAACACGUGGGAACGUACCCUUCGGUUCGGAAUAACUCAGGGAAACUUGAGCUAAUACCGGAUACGUCCGUAAGGAGAAAGAUUUAUCGCCGAGGGAUCGGCCCGCGUCCGAUUAGCUAGUUGGUGGGGUAAUGGCCCACCAAGGCGACGAUCGGUAGCUGGUCUGAGAGGAUGAUCAGCCUCACUGGGACUGAGACACGGCCCAGACUCCUACGGGAGGCAGCAGUGGGGAAUAUUGGACAAUGGGCGCAAGCCUGAUCCAGCCAUGCCGCGUGGGUGAUGAAGGCCCUAGGGUUGUAAAGCCCUUUCGGCGGGGAAGAUAAUGACGGUACCCGCAGAAGAAGCCCCGGCUAACUUCGUGCCAGCAGCCGCGGUAAUACGAAGGGGGCUAGCGUUGCUCGGAAUCACUGGGCGUAAAGCGCACGUAGCGGAUUGUUAAGUCAGGGGUGAAAUCCUGGAGCUCAACUCCAGAACUGCCUUUGAUACUGGCGAUCUUGAGUCCGGGAGAAGUGAGUGGAACUGCGAGU